AAGAGAUUUCCAGUAAAAGAGAAACUUUAAUCAUGACAAGAUGCAGAACAAAGGAUCUACAGACUUGAAUUAGAAGCUACACAAGCAUAAAACCAAGCCUCAUGCUUUCCCCUCAUACAUGAAGUUCUGGAGGCUGUUAACCAACAUCAGCGGUAUACACCAACUACCACGAUGAACACUGGACUCUUGUUUCAGCUGCUACAAGACCUACCCACAGAUGUCCUAAUGCUACAACCAUUUACCAACGACCCACAACCACAGCAUGGGCCGUGCUGACUAUCGCUUCGAUGGUGGCCUCCCAUCAUCAUCAUCGUCACCAUCGUCA
rnacentral:lncRNA from 1 species